rnacentral:sRNA from 12 species
UUGCGUUAGGGAUUGCAGUGAAAAUCCUUUUAUUUUUUUCUUUAAAAAAUAAAAGAUUGUAACGGAAAGCCCGACCUCGU